GGCGAGGUAGCUCAGUUGGCUAGAGCACACGGUUCAUACCCGUGGUGUCGGGGGUUCAAAUCCCUUCCUCGCUA
rnacentral:tRNA from 1 species